GAUGAACGCUAGCUACAGGCUUAACACAUGCAAGUCGCGGGGCAGCAUGUCGGUUGCUUGCAACCGAUGAUGGCGACCGGCGCACGGGUGAGUAACGCGUAUCCAACCUGCCCUUCACCACGGAAUAAUCCAGUGAAAAUUGGUCUAAUACCGUAUGAGGUCAUACGAUGGCAUCAGAAUAUGACGAAAGGUUUAGCGGUGAAGGAUGGGGAUGCGUCUGAUUAGCUUGUUGGUGGGGUAACGGCUCACCAAGGCGACGAUCAGUAGCCGGUCUGAGAGGAUGAACGGCCACAUUGGAACUGAGACACGGUCCAGACUCCUACGGGAGGCAGCAGUGGGGAAUCUUCCGCAAUGGACGAAAGUCUGACGGAGCAACGCCGCGUGAACGAUGACGGCC
rnacentral:rRNA from 1 species